rnacentral:rRNA from 1 species
GCUCUUGGGUUGUAAACCCCUUUUCUCUGGGAAGAAAGUUGUGAAAGCAACCUGACGGUACCAGAGGAAUCAGCAUCGGCUAAYUCCGUGCCAGCUAGCCGCGGUAAGACGGAGGAUGCAAGCGUUAUCCGGAAUGAUUGGGCGUAAAGCGUCCGCAGGUGGCAGUUCAAGUCUGCUGUCAAAGACCGGGGCUUAACUUCGGAAAGGCAGUGGAAACUGAACAGCUAGAGUAUGGUAGGGGCAGAGGGAAUUCCUGGUGUAGCGGUGAAAUGCGUAGAGAUCAGGAAGAACAUCGGUGGCGAAGGCGCUCUGCUGGACCAUAACUGACACUCAGGGAC